GCUUAACUGCUCAGUUGGUAGAGCACGAGACUCUGAAUCUUAGGGUUGUGGGUUCGAGUCCUGUGUUGGAUG